UUAGAGUUUGAUCCUGGCUCAGGAUGAACGCUAGCGACAGGCUUAACACAUGCAAGUCGAGGGGCAGCAUAAAUAAAGUUUACUUUAUUUGAUGGCGACCGGCGCACGGGUGAGUAACGCGUAUGCAACCUGGCUUAUACAGGGGGAUAGCCCAUGGAAACGUGGAUUAACACCGCAUAAUAUAAUUUGAAGGCAUCUUUAGAUUAUUAAAUAUUUAUAGGUAUAAGAUGGGCAUGCGUCCUAUUAGAUAGUUGGUGAGGUAACGGCUCACCAAGUCUAUGAUAGGUAGGGGUUCUGAGAGGAAGGUCCCCCACACUGGUACUGAGACACGGUCCAGACUCCUACGGGAGGCAGCAGUGAGGAAUAUUGGUCAAUGGACGAAAGUCUGAACCAGACAAGUCGCGUGAAGGAAGACGGUUCUAUGGAUUGUAAACUUCUUUUAUUUGGGAAGAAUAAACACUACGUGUAGUAUGAUGCCUGUACCAAAUGAAUAAGCAUCGGCUAACUCCGUGCCAGCAGCCGCGGUAAUACGGAGGAUGCGAGCGUUAUCCGGAUUUAUUGGGUUUAAAGGGUGCGUAGGUGGUUUAUUAAGUUAGUGGUUAAAUGUCUGGGCUCAACCUAGGCUUGCCAUUAAAGCUGGUAGACUCGAGUACACGCGAGGUAGGCGGAAUAAGUUAAGUAGCGGUGAAAUGCUUAGAUAUAACUUAGAACUCCGAUAGCGAAGGCAGCUUACCAGAGUGUAACUGACACUGAUGCACGAGAGCGUGGGUAGCGAACAGGAUUAGAUACCCUGGUAGUCCACGCCGUAAACGAUGCUCACUGACUCUAUGCGAUACACAGUAUGGGGUUAAGCGAAAGUUUUAAGUGAGCCACCUGGGGAGUACGUCGGCAACGAUGAAACUCAAAGGAAUUGACGGGGGCCCGCACAAGCGGAGGAACAUGUGGUUUAAUUCGAUGAUACGCGAGGAACCUUACCUGGAUUUAAAUGGGAGAUGACCGAUUCGGAACGAUUUUUCUUUCGAGACAUUUUUCAGGUGCUGCAUGGUGUCGUCAGCUCGUGCGUGAGUGUCGGUUAAGUCCUUACGAGCGCAACCCUAUCGUAGUGCCAUCAGUAUGCUGGCACUCUAGCGAGAACUGCCCACCGUUAGGUGUAGAAGCCGGAAUGACGUCAUUCAGACGCCUUUAAUCAGGC
rnacentral:rRNA from 1 species